rnacentral:lncRNA from 1 species
GGCCCUCCAGUCUGAGACCUGCCCUGUGCUCUGCAGGGUGCCUGGAGACAUUGAUGAGGUAAACGCCCUGAAGCUCCAGGUGGAUCAGUGGAAGGUGCCCACAGGCCUGGAGGACCCCCAUGUCCCAGGUAAGUCCCUGGACCACUCAACACCAGAGCAUGCACUGCCUAGAGGGUCGAUGGCCAUUCACUCCUCCUGUCACCCCCAGCUUCUUUCCCUGCUGUAUCUCAUGACCUUCCUUCCGCAGCUCUGGGGCCGGCCCAUCACUAGUCGGAUAUAUCCCGCACUGGGGGCGGGGGGGGGGGGGGGGGGGGGGGAGGCUGGACUGUGCCGCUCCUCCAUCCACAGAUACUGAGUCAGAUUGGCAGGACCCUAGGUUUUAUUCAAAGCCAGCUUUGAAGGAAGAUCUAAGAAACUUUUGUUUCAAAUUUCCAUCUUGGGAAAAUUGAACGGCCAGGAUACCUUUUAUAAGGGGAUAGAUACAGGGAGAUUGAUUUAGCCUGUGAUGCAGCAGCGCCAGUGGCCGCAGACCUGGGCGGGGAACCUUUUCCAGAAAGCCCUUUCCCUACGCUCCCUGAUGCGGUCCGAGCGGGCUGCCAGGCCCAUGCGUUCCCAGAGCAGGCCCACCUGAACCGCCCUCGCCCACAGCGUCGCUGCUGAAGCUGUGGUACCGGGAACUGGAGGAGCCCCUGAUCCCGCACGAGUUCUACGAGCAGUGCAUCGCUCACUAUGAGAGUCCCGAGGCCGCCGUGGCCGUGGUGCACGCGCUGCCUCGCAUCAAUCGCAUGGUGCUGUGCUACCUCAUCCGCUUCCUUCAGGUACCCGCGCCUUGCCCCGCCCGCGUCCCCGCGUCCCCGCGCCCCCUGCCUGCUCCCCGGCCCUGUGCUCCACCCACCGCGCCCCGCGCCCCCGGCCUCUGGUCCGCCCGCCACGCCCUCCGCUCCUCCCCUCCGCAGGUGUUCGUGCAGCCUGCCAACGUGGCCAUCACCAAGAUGGACGUCAGCAACCUGGCCAUGGUGAUGGCGCCCAACUGCCUGCGCUGCCAGUCGGAUGACCCGCGCGUCAUCUUCGAGAACACACGCAAGGAGAUGUCCUUCCUGCGCGUACUCAUCCAGCACCUGGACACCAGCUUUAUGGAGGGCGUGCUAUAGCACGCGGGCACCACGGACGGCGGGCUGCGCGGCGCACGCGGGAGCGGGGGCCCCGCCGGGGCAGCAUGCCAGGCCCCGCCGGCCCCGAGAAGUGCCUUCUGUUCCCCGGAGCCGAGCGACACUGCCCUCCCGGCUGGCCGCGGCCCACGCCGCGCGGCCUCUCCGCUCCAGAGCCCCGGCUGCCCGCCGCCAGGCCGCGGUUCUCCUGCGCGGGGAGGGCCCCGAACCAAAGUCCUCGCGGCGGGCAGGGCCGGGCAGGCACUCUUGGGGCGGGGGGAGAGUAUUUUUUUCGUGGUGUACCUACGAGUCCAGAUUCCAUCCCGCACCCCGCCCUCUUGUGCAUAGAGAUAUAAAUAGAGCGACAGACGUCGGGACUAAAUUUGCUAAGGACAUAGUUCUAACCAGAUGCUAUUUAUCUCUGAGCCGUCCUCACCGCCCUCGUGCAGAGCACUCGCACCCUCCUUCCUUACCCGCAGCUCCCGACCCAACCCCGCGCCGCGCGGCGGCUGGGCCGGACUCGCCUGCGUUCCCGUUAUGGAAUCAGUUCCAACUGUUGUCAAACUUAAUUUCUCCCGGUUUUUAUAUAUAUAUUUUUUAGAGUUGAGUUUUUAUUUAUUAUUAAAACAAAACAGCCAGCCCUGCCGAGCCGGCCCCUGAGCGGGCCACAGACGUGCUCUGACACGUGGACCGAGGGACCGCUUUUCGUGUGAAUAAAGUUCGUGUGGACACUCGCGCGCCGCUUCG